UUUCAGGUCGCCGCUUUUAGAUUCA
rnacentral:sRNA from 1 species